UGUCACUCUGCAAGUGAAGUCACAUCAGUAGAGUACUUACUUACUUACUUACAGUCUUACAAGAAUGCAGUCGUCUUUAUUAUUAGAGAUUUGUAUCGGUAUUGUAAUCCUUUCGAUUGGAGGAUAUAUGGCAGCAGCCUCACCAGAUACUAACUAUGCAAAGCUUUUCCUUAAAGAGUAAUAAUUGUUUUUUCUUUGUUUUGUAAACAAUGAUAAAAGUUUUUUUUUAUAAUAAAUAAAUAAAAGUCGUAUCAUGUAAAAAAA